rnacentral:tRNA from 1 species
GCGGAUGUGGUUCAAGGGUAGAACAGCGCUCUGCCAAGACGCUGGUACAGGUUCGAGUCCUGUCGUCCGCU